UAACCUGCCCAAGAGAUCGGGAUAACACCUGGAAACAGAUGCUAAUACCGGAUAACAACAGAUGAUGCCUAUCAACUGUUUAAAAGAUGGUUCUGCUAUCACUCUUGGAUGGACCUGCGGUGCAUUAGCUAGUUGGUAGGGUAACGGCCUACCAAGGCGAUGAUGCAUAGCCGAGUUGAGAGACUGAUCGGCCUACAUUUGGGACUGAGACACGGCCCAAACUCCUACGGGAGGCAGCAGAG
rnacentral:rRNA from 1 species